CUCAUGGACCCACUUCUCCUAGAAGGAUGGAGAUUUCUGAAGAAGGCCUGUCACAGCUUACCACCUCCACUAGGAGCACAAAUUUACAGUGAAAGACUGUCUGUCACAGCUUCCCACUCUGAGGGAUGAAGAUCUCCAAGAUCUAUCAUGGCCCUCUCCCAUAUAGCUCUUCGGUGUGCCAUUACCAGCUCUACCACCAUGCAAAAAGAAAGACCCCCUCAGCUACUUAGGAGAACAUUGACAUAGUGGACCCUCAUCUUUAGGAUGGUGGCCUCCUAGAAGUGACAAAUCAUAAGAAAAAGUGGAACCUUGAGAUCUCAGCCGUCAUUCUUAUCACUGGCCAACAGACUGAGAAGACUCCGGAAGAGGCCGCAUAAAAGCAAAGAAGACAUGUUGCAUGAAGUCAUACAGCAGUCUGUAAACGAGAAUCGAAAGGCACAGAAGUGGAGGGAGAGCGAAAGGAGGAUCCUCCAGGAAAAUGCAAUGCACUGGUGGCAAACCACGGAAAAUGGCUAAUUAGCAUAAUGGAGCGCCAAGCGGACUUUAUCCACAUGCUUGUCACCAUGCAGGCAGAACACUACUGCGCUUGCCCCCCCCCCCCACCCCAGCAGGCCUUGUCCCAAAACUCUUCCCCUUGUGCCCCCAUGUCCCUUCCAACCCACUUUCCCCAACAUCCGGGUUCUUAUCACCCGCAGCUGCCUCCUACACCCGUAGCUUCACCAUCCACCCACGAAAUCUACAACCCUUAUCCAUUGCACUCAACCGCCCUCAACGUGCCUUAUAGCCAUCCUGAAGUGCAGCACUCAGUGCACAGCACUCCAGACAGGAUUCAAGAGUAUGAAAUAAGGACAUACUCAAGCCUAUGAGUGAACCGGGCCC